UAAGUUUGCAAGACCACAAUAGACAAACAAUGGAAAAUGAUCUAGGUUCAAAUAAAACACAAUUAUCAAUGUAAAACAUAUCCUGUAAUACACACAGGUUGCUUUAUGUCAUGAGCCUGUUCUAAUUCUAUCUUCAUUCCCACUUGUAGAGUGCUCUGACAGAUAAAACUGACACGCUUGAUGAGGACACAGUCAAAGCUUUAAAAGACCGUGUGAUAAAGCAGUCUUCAAUUACUACGGUGUCUGAAUUGCAAGAAGAAUUGACCCUCCACUUAAACAUGUGACAUCUAAACUGUUUUGUGUUUUAGUUCAGCUUUUUAUAGGUUUAUCUUAAGUUGUUUAAAGGCGAAGUGCACUAUUUUUGAAAGCCAAUGUUAACAUUUGAAAUUACCUAAACAAACAUGCCUCUACCCCAAUAGAAUCUGGAUCUUCUUUUGAUAGAGCCACCACACACAUACGCAACCCCGGCAAGGAUGUCUGUUAGUAGACAUGCCCCUUACUGCUGGUUGGCUACAAGUGUGUUUUGGUAGUCGGCCCAAUUUCCUUUUCCAAAGCGUUUUUCAAACAUUGUGCACUCCGCCUUUAAAUUGCACUUAAACAUUUUUUUUCUCAGUAACUUUUUAUGCAGAGAAUUACAUUAUGAUUAUUAUAUAAUCAUUGCUUAUGAAUAUUCAGUGAUUGCAUAUUCAUAGUGUACUUUUCAUUAAUACAUUUAAUGUUAAUGUUGUACAAUUUGAUAGAAGUAGCUCUGUAAUUGCAUUUCUAUGAUAUUUGUUUUAUAUUGUUUCUCUUUGGUCAAGAGAUUAUGUAUGUCUCUGUGCUUGCUUAAUUUACUUUAGAUAUUUUUGUAAUGUACACAACACAAUAUGAAGUAUAUUAAAUUGUUCUGUAUUCAAAA